UACCUGACUGGAAGAAACCAUGAGGAGUAAGAAUUUGGGUGGAGUCCUUUGUAGGAAGAAUCACCAGGAUGGUUUUGGAGGCAACUCGAGGUUGACCAUUCUGCUCCAGACUUCUUAGGGAGCACAAUGCAGCCUCAUGAAAUGGACAGUCUUACUACGUGGGUGCAUCUUCUAAUUUUAGCUGGGUGAUGGUUUCUGUGUGUCUUCAGGCAAGUCUACUCCCUUCUGUCUCUCUGGUCUCUACUUUCCAGCAUUACCACAGACCAUUCUCUAUCUUGCUCAGGCUGCUUUGGCUCUGCAGAAUGCAAGUAGUUUAUUUAGUAAGUGAUCCCUGGAAAUGUGGAUGAGGGACAUGGUGCAGAAGACAAGGGGGAGAAGAAAGGCAAUAAAUGUGAGUUAUUCAGUAUGACCCCUCUGGGCACCUGGGGCUGAAUCCUGCUCAGGCACCUGGGAGCCCAUAUAGAACACACACUCCUCAUCCUUCCCAAGGGCAGAGUGACCUUCUGGAACUUUGGAGAAAGCCCUCGAAGAGUUGUACGUUCUGGCCUCUGGAAGACUGGUUGGUAUGCACAAGAAGUGUCCACUGCCAAGAGGAUAUGGGGGUUCCACAACAAGAUUCUGAUGCAACAAGAAAAAUAAACCACAAUUUGUUUAAGCCCCUGGAGAAGGGCUUCCUGUGACCUGCAGCUAAAGGGAUUCUCAAGACAGGCAACACCAUUACCUCACCUGAAUAUACUCAUCCAUUAGGGAAGAAUCACAUCCAUUUUUAACUCACUGUUCAUCAUCUCUUACAAAAUACAAGAAGCCAACAUAUCACACAAGGCCCAGGCAGAUGUGAAAGGGAUGUGUUUCAACCUGGCAGCCAGGCCUUCAUGGAGCAAAUGAACCACGUAUGCCAGACCCACCCAGAUAUCUCCAGGAUUUGGCUUGUGAGCCCAAGCAUCACAUAUUAUGUUUAUAAAAGUCGGGAAGAAAGAGAGCUGGGAGAGCAGAGGCCUGAGGGGGAAGCAGAGAUGCACACACAGAGGCCAUUUUACUCCCGUGAAGAGGAGCAGACGUUUCUUCUGUUGCACUUUCCUCCCCUGGAUGGGGCUGAGACUUGGGGGGACCAUUUCUCCCAGGGUUCGAGGUGGGGGGUCUGACAGGAGCCUGGGAGGUGGGAGGUGGGUCAGGGCUCUUCCUUCCCAGCUUUAGUCAUGCAUGGGGUCCUGAGGAGACCACGGGCUGUUUACAUUCUCUUCUGGGGAUCCACUGGGGAAGAAGCUCUCUGAUUGCCAAACAGCCUCACAUUGGCUCCAGAAACCUCCAUUUGGAAGGUCUUCCACGUUGACCCCAGCCCAUCCCAUGUUUGACCCCAACUUGCAGGCUCAGGGCAGCCUUUUAAACCUUUCCCUCCUCACUGCUUUGGACAGCAUGUCCCCUCAGCCUCAGUCAUCCCGGACUCAGCCUCAUUCCCAGACAGACUCCUACGAGAGGCCUUGGAAGCUCAGCGAGACCCCCCUGAGUCUUCCUAUGCUCCCAAAAUGCCACAGACUAAACACUGAGUCACCACUCACUCGCUACUCUCCCUGAAGCUCUGGUUUCAGAGGGAGGACCCGAGGGUUUGACUGAGGGAAAUAGUUUCCCCCUUUUCUCGCUGGGUGGUUUUAAGGUGCGGCAAGAUUGCUGGGAAAGUUGUGGGUGGGCCGAGGGCCAAGUACAAUGUAGGUAUCCCUGGGUCAGCAUUUCGUCUGAGCAUCAACCCUGGCCUCUCCCUCCGCCCUACCCCUCCCACUUCCACAGACUGCAGCCAGGCUUCCGGAAGGGAAUGUGGCAAUAGUGCCACCUGAUCCUGUCCACAGCCCUACAGGGAAGCCCAGGGAGGCUUUUCCUAUUUUGCAGAUGAAGAAACUGUGCUCCAAGAAAACAGAGGACUUGCAACCUAGCUAUGGCUAAAGAGUGCUGGAGCCUGGUCUCAGAGCCAUAUCUCCAGCCGAGUGCUCUCACCCCGGCAGGCGGCUGCAGGAAACAGCUGGAAUGUGUAAUGAGAAGAGGGACUGGGAAACUCAAUGUUGGAUUCUUAGGAGAAAAAGGAAACUGACCUCCCACAGUGAAAUGAGCAAGGCGUGGCUCACGGGCCAACUGGGCAUUUGUUCAGUGGCCUAUUCAAUGACCCAAAGGCUGCACUUUUCCAUGGGUGGGGAAAAGUAGGGCAGAAUCUGUUGGCUCCUAGCAUCCCGACCUUGGAGCUAGACCCUGGGAACUUGCUUAGCUUACUCCUCAGGGGCUGGUCCACCCUGUGCAACCUGGUGCACAACUCAAAUGCUUGGCAUGGCUGUCUGAAGAUUGGGAUGAUCUGUUUGUGGAUGGGAGGGAGGUCUGGUCAUUUAUAUCUUAGUGGGAGAGUUCCAGGAUCAUGACCUGUCACUGUGAAGGCAUUUCAAAAAGCAGCCUACCAGGGGAAUCCACACUGAGGUUGAUGAGCAGCAAAUUCUUGUCCAAACCAUACAUGACUAUUGCACACCAGUCUGUGCUGUUUCCUUUUUUCCUACUCCAUAUCAGUGGACCUCUUCAUGGGUAAAAGGAGGAUGGGAUAGAGAAUGAGAGGAAGGUAACAGAAGCACUUGAAAACUGAGGCUGAUAUACAUCACUGCUGCUGCUGCUGCUGCUAAGUCAUUUCAGUCGUGUCCGACUCUGUGUGACCCCAUGGACUGCAGCCCACCAGGGUCCUCCAUCCAUGGGAUUUUCCAGGCAAGAGUACUGGAGUGGGGUGCCAUUGCCUUCUCCGGACAUACAUCACUGCACCUCUUUAAAACACAAAACCCCAAAUACUGGAGGAUUCUCUUCUAUCCUCAUUUCAAAUCUUGGGAAAGCCUCCAGUUAAUAGCAUUGACUUCCACACUCACUCCCAUAAAGCCAUUCCUCAGGAGAAGUUCUGAAAAGGAGAGUCUGACUCAGGCAAUGUUCUGAAAUACUUUUAACCAUGACCUACACAUCAUGUAAAUGUGACUGAAACAAGUUUCACAAUGUGAUAUUUACCCUUACUUCUUGCAAUGACUUCUAUGUUCUAUUCUGCUGCCAUUUUUAUCACUAAAAAUAAAUACAGGUUGACUCACUAA